rnacentral:rRNA from 1 species
GUCGAGCGGGGACUUCGGUCCUAGCGGCGAACGGGUGAGGAAUGCUUGGGAAUCUGCCUAGUAGUGGGGGAUAACGUUUCGAAAGGAACGCUAAUACCGCAUACGCCCUACGGGGGAAAGGGGGGGAUCUUCGGACCUCUCGCUAUUAGAUGAGCCCAAGUCGGAUUAGCUAGUUGGUGAGGUAAAGGCUCACCAAGGCGACGAUCCGUAGCUGGUCUGAGAGGAUGAUCAGCCACACUGGAACUGAGACACGGUCCAGACUCCUACGGGAGGCAGCAGUGGGGAAUAUUGGACAAUGGGCGAAAGCCUGAUCCAGCCAUGCCGCGUGUGUGAAGAAGGCCUUCGGGUUGUAAAGCACUUUAAGCGAGGAGGAAUGGCUCUGGGUUAAUACCCUUGAGCAGUGACGUUACUCGCAGAAUAAGCACCGGCUAACUCUGUGCCAGCAGCCGCGGUAAUACAGAGGGUGCAAGCGUUAAUCGGAAUUACUGGGCGUAAAGCGCGCGUAGGCGGUUACGUAAGUUGGAUGUGAAAUCCCCGGGCUCAACCUGGGAAUUGCAUUCAAAACUGCGUGGCUAGAGUGUGGGAGAGGAAGGUAGAAUUCCAGGUGUAGCGGUGAAAUGCGUAGAUAUCUGGAGGAAUACCGAUGGCGAAGGCAGCCUUCUGGCCUAACACUGACGCUGAGGUGCGAAAGCAUGGGGAGCAAACAGGAUUAGAUACCCUGGUAGUCCAUGCCGUAACGAUGUCUACUAGCCGUUGGGGGACUUGAUC